UCACCCCUCAAGCCCUGUGCUUGGUGUUGGAUGGCCGGUCGAGCGAUCGACCCCUCCUAAAGACAAUGACGGCGGCCUGUGGUUCCCCCGGUACACUGAGCUUUUAACUGAGCACGUAUCGGACAAGGGCACCCGGGACCCGGUCCUCUCCUUUAACUAGGAAACUUCUAA
rnacentral:misc_RNA from 1 species